rnacentral:tRNA from 1 species
AGACAACAAAAUGUUUAAUUUUAUUAUUUUGUCACCUUAGGUCGAUCGGUAUCUCACAUUCUUAAUUUAUUAAGAAUUUCAUUUCCUAAGUUUUUCUAGGUCACACCCAUUAUUUUUCCUGGGCCAUUAGCUCAGGUGGUUAGAGCGCACCCCUGAUAAGGGUGAGGUCCCUGGUUCAAGUCCAGGAUGGCCCAUAUCUCUAUGUUGGGGGUAUAGCUCAGUUGGUAGAGCGCCUGCUUUGCAAGCAGGAUGUCAGCGGUUCGAGUCCGCUUACCUCCACUGAUUACCACCUCUUCCAUAACCGGUAGAAAGGAAAUGUUUUGAGUUGUGAUUAUUAUUCUGAACGAAUCUAGCUUCCUAAUGAAAUCAUUAAGAUGCUGGACUCAUUGAAUUAAUUUCAUUGUUUUCAGAGAACCUUGACAACUGCAUAGAUUAUUUUUAAAGACAAUAAGCAUCUUUAAUGAUGCAGAUUUAUUAUUUGUGCGAAUGCAUUAAUAACAAUUCUAUUGAGCUGAUGCUUCAAUUUUUGAAGUUAUU